rnacentral:lncRNA from 1 species
CAACCGUCGCCUCUGAAACCCUUCAGUCUCUAAAACUCUUUCGAAGGUUCUCAAACCCUAGCUGCCUCUUACCAUCUCUGACCGGAGAUCUACCGGAAUUUAUGGCCACCAAAGCUAUGAGAGUCUUAUACCCACCUCCUGGUGCUCUUAUACACAUGAUAUCUGAAGUUUCAAGGCCUGGCCUUGAGGAUUUGUACCCAGACCUCUAUCGAUUCAAGAUUCCAUGGUCGUCUCCGGCUUUGCUCUGGCAUACCAGGGUCGUUCGAGCCUCAAUCUAACCUUUCCGACUCAGAUCGGUGACUUUUCAAAGCCUUUGUCAUAUCUAAAGUUUUUCUGAG